rnacentral:rRNA from 1 species
GUGGGGAAUCUUGCGCAAUGGGCGAAAGCCUGACGCAGCCAUGCCGCGUGGAUGAUGAAGGUCUUAGGAUUGUAAAAUCCUUUCACCGGUGAAGAUAAUGACUGUAGCCGGAGAAGAAGCUCCGGCUAACUUCGUGCCAGCAGCCGCGGUAAUACGAAGGGGGCUAGCGUUGCUCGGAAUUACUGGGCGUAAAGGGCGCGUAGGCGGACAGCUUAGUCAGAGGUGAAAGCCCAGGGCUCAACCUUGGAAUUGCCUUUGAUACUGGCUGUCUUGAGUUUGGGAGAGGUGAGUGGAACUCCGAGUGUAGAGGUGAAAUUCGUAGAUAUUCGGAAGAACACCAGUGGCGAAGGCGACUCACUGGCCCAAUACUGACGCUGAGGCGCGAAAGCGUGGGGAGCAAACAGGAUUAGAAACCCUUGUAGUCC